GACGAACGCUGGCGGCGUGCCUAAUACAUGCAAGUCGAACGCAGUGGGGACGGGUGAGUAACACGUGGGUAACCUCCCAUCAGAGGGGAUAACACUUGGAAACAGGUGCUAAACCGAUACUGAUGGAUGAACACGCGGUGCAUUAGCUAGUUGGUGAGGUAACGGCUCACCAAGGCCACGAGGCAUAGCGGACCGGAGAGGGGAAUCGGCAACACUGGGACGAAGACACGGCCCAGACUCCUACGGGAGGCGGCAGUGGGGAAUCUGCGGCAAGGGACGAAAGUCUGACCGGGCAACGCGGCGUGAGUAAAGAAGGUUUUCGGAUCGUAAAACUCUGUUGUUAGAGAAGCGGUAUCUAACCAGAAAGCCACGGCUAACUACGUGCCAGCAGCCGCGGUAAUUC
rnacentral:rRNA from 1 species